CGUGGGUAACCUGCCCAAGAGAUCGGGAUAACACCUGGAAACAGACGCUAAUACCGGAUAACAACAGAUGAUGCCUAUCAACUGUUUAAAAGAUGGUUCUGCUAUCACUCUUGGAUGGACCUGCGGUGCAUUAGCUAGUUGGUAGGGUAACGGCCUACCAAGGCGAUGAUGCAUAGCCGAGUUGAGAGACUGAUCGGCCACAUUGGGACUGAGACACGGCCCAAACUCCUACGGGAGACAGCAGCC
rnacentral:rRNA from 1 species